rnacentral:other from 1 species
CACCGGCGGUUCGAUGCGAGACCCGGGGCGAAUCUGUCUCCUACAUCUGCUAUCCAGGGAUCUGCCUCUGUUCCGGGAGUGCACGCCCGCUCGUCGGGAAGCCCAAUGGAUUAUCGUGGAACCCACCUACGCAACGCGUAGGGGAUAGACUGCCUCACGGUCGGACGGUCGUGCU